UAUUGGACAAUGGGCACAAGCCUGAUCCAGCCAUGCCGCGUGAGUGAUGAAGGCCUUAGGGUUGUAAAGCGCUUUUGCCGGGGACGAUAAUGACGGUACCCGGAGAAUAAGUCCCGGCUAACUUCGUGCCAGCAGCCGCGGUAAUACGAAGGGGACUAGCGUUGUUCGGAAUCACUGGGCGUAAAGCGCACGUAGGCGGAUUUGUAAGUCAGGGGUGAAAUCCCGGGGCUCAACCUCGGAACUGCCUUUGAUACUGCGAAUCUUGAGUCCGAUAGAGGUGGGUGGAAUUCCUAGUGUAGAGGUGAAAUUCGUAGAUAUUAGGAAGAACACCGGUGGCGAAGGCGGCCCUACUGGAUCGGUACUGACGCUGAGGUGCGAAAG
rnacentral:rRNA from 1 species